rnacentral:rRNA from 1 species
AGAGUUUGAUCCUGGCUCAGGACGAACGCUGGCGGCGUGCUUAACACAUGCAAGUCGAACGGAAAGGCCCCUUCGGGGGUGCUCGAGUGGCGAACGGGUGAGUAACACGUGGGUGAUCUGCCCUGCACUUCGGGAUAAGCUUGGGAAACUGGGUCUAAUACCGGAUAGGACCACGGCCUGCAUGGGUUGUGGUGGAAAGCUUUUGCGGUGUGGGAUGGGCCCGCGGCCUAUCAGCUUGUUGGUGGGGUGAUGGCCUACCAAGGCGACGACGGGUAGCCGGCCUGAGAGGGUGUCCGGCCACACUGGGACUGAGAUACGGCCCAGACUCCUACGGGAGGCAGCAGUGGGGAAUAUUGCACAAUGGGCGCAAGCCUGAUGCAGCGACGCCGCGUGGGGGAUGACGGCCUUCGGGUUGUAAACCUCU